rnacentral:rRNA from 1 species
CCUACGGGUGGCAGCAGUGAUGAAUAUUGGUCAAUGGGCGCGAGCCUGAACCAGCCACGUCGCGUGAGGGAAGACGGCCCUACGGGUUGUAAACCUCUUUUGCCGGGGAUCAACUGGCGCCACGUGUGUCUCCACUGAGAGUACCCGGAGAAAAAGCAUCGGCUAACUCCGUGCCCGCAACCGCGGUAAUACGGAGGAUGCGAGCGUUAUCCGUAAUUAUUGUGUUUAAAGGUUGCGUAGGCGGCGCGUUAAGUCAGUGGUCACAUUGAGGGGCUCAACCCCUUCCCGCCAUUGAAACUGGCGCUCUUGAGUGGAAGAGAAGUAUGCGGAAUGCGUGGUGUAGCGGUGAAAUGCAUAGAUAUCACGCAGAACCCCGAUUGCGAAGGCAGCAUGCCGGCUUCCUACUGACGCUGAAGCACGAAAGCGUGGGGAUCGAACAGGAUUAGAUACCCGAGUAGUC